UNCCAACUGAGCUACAUCCUACCUCCUA
rnacentral:piRNA from 1 species